UAUAGAAACGGUCGGCGGUGGCUCAUGGCGUUUGGAUGGCGGCAGGUAGCGGUGCUUCUCCUUCUUUACUUCUUGGUGGUGUCUUCCACCGCAGUCCCAGUUUCAAGAUGUUAGAGAAAUUGAGAAUGAUGAAGGGGUGAAGGUGAAGUUAUUGGAUAGAAGACAAACCAUUGAACUUAAUGAUUAUCGUGGACCAAGAUAUCCUCCUAAACAUAAUUAAUCACCACUACAUGUUUCUGAUUAUUGAAAAUCAUGAAAAUAAUAAUAUUUCAAGCACACAUGAUGAGACAUCUUGUCUGGUUAAUGGAUUUUGCCUGUUCAUAUC